GUCACUUUCACUCUCACUCUCACUCUCGCUUCUCACUAUCUCAUCUCACUCUCACUCUCAUUCUCGCACGAUUUCAACCUCUAGUCAUGGCUUCUUCUAUCUUUUGUGCAUAGCUUCAAUGGCUGCGUCAACUCAUUCUCCUUUUGGAUCCUCAUGUGGAUCACAAUUACCUACAAAAUCUAUUGUAAUUGUGAAAACAGAGGUUAACAAAAACAAUAUGGUUUAAGAUGAUGACCUCACUUCCUUGCUCAAGCUUACUAGAAAAGAUAAUGAUGAAGCUGUUCGCAUACUAGCAGCAAAGGCAAUUGCCAAUUUAUCCAUGAAUGGAAAUUGAUGAACCUGCAUUGAAGGAGGACAUUUGUUUAUUUUGUAC